CCUACGGGGAGCAGCAGUGGGGAAUAUUGGACAAUGGGCGAAAGCCUGAUCCAGCCAUGCCGCGUGUGUGAAGAAGGCCUUCGGGUUGUAAAGCACUUUCAGUGGGGAAGAAAGCCUUGGGGCUAAUACCCUCGAGGAAGGACAUCACCCACAGAAGAAGCACCGGCUAACUCCGUGCCAGCAGCCGCGGUAAUACGGAGGGUGCGAGCGUUAAUCGGAAUUACUGGGCGUAAAGCGCGCGUAGGCGGUCUGAUAAGCCGGUUGGGAAAGCCCCGGGCUCAACCUGGGAACGGCAUCCGGAACUGUCAGGCUAGAGUGCAGGAGAGGAAGGUAGAAUUCCCGGUGUAGCGGUGAAAUGCGUAGAGAUCGGGAGGAAUACCAGUGGCGAAGGCGGCCUUCUGGACUGACACUGACGCUGAGGUGCGAAAGCGUGGGUAGCAAACAGGAUUAGAUACCCGGGUAGUC
rnacentral:rRNA from 1 species